UUCUGCUUGCACAGUACAUAGCCAAUGAGGUUUAUCUGAGGCGUGAUUAUUGCUAACUGAGUAUUUUCCCAAUGCUCUGCCGUGAUGAUUUGAAAUAUAGUCAGUAUUGACAAUUUUUGAAAAUCUCUAUGGAGG